rnacentral:tRNA from 1 species
GCGCUUAUAGGCUAACGGAUAAACUGCUCGGCUUCGAACCGAGAUUUCCAAGUUCGAAUCUUGGUAGGCGCA